UACGUAGGGUGCGAGCGUUGUCCGGAAUUAUUGGGCGUUAAAGAGCUUGUAGGCGGUUUGUCGCGUCUGCUGUGAAAUCUCAAGCUCAACCUUGAGCUUGCAGUGGGUACGGGCAGACUAGAGGUGUGGUAGGGGAGACUGGAAUUCCUGGUGUAGCGGUGAAAUGCGCAGAUAUCAGGAGGAACACCGAUGGCGAAGGCAGGUCUCUGGGCCACUA
rnacentral:rRNA from 1 species